rnacentral:ncRNA from 2 species
GGGCUAGAACGCGGGAGCUCGGAGAUACCGGGCUGAGAGGGUGGCUGUCGAGCCACCGACCGCUUGAACCUGACCGGGUAAUGCCGGCGUAGGGAGAGUGAGUUUCGAUGUC